UCGUGCAACUUUGUGGCUCCGGUGCUCUCCCUACGAAAAUCUCCAUCAAAGUUCAAUCUUCUCUCGUGAUUCUUUUGAAUCUUCUCUGUCGCGCAUCUCUGGGUCGGUGCUCUCCCUACCAAAAGCUCCAUCAAAGACGGUCCAUCAAAGACGGUAUCUUCACUGUGUACCCUCCCUUCCACAUACGACAUUUUAUGGAUGAGUUUAAAGAAACGUGUAAUUUGAAUGAAAAUGGUUUUAUUGAUUGUAACCGUAGUGAGGUUGAAAAAUCAAUUAAUAUAGAUAGUCAAAUUGAUGAAGAGGAUAAUUUACAAGAUGAAGGUGAUGAAGAUGUAUACAAAAGUUAUCUUGAUCUGAUUGCAGAUGAUAUUUUUGGAUUGGAGUUUGCAAGUGAAAAUGUUGCUUAAAAAUUUUAUUUCACUUAUGCUAAGUGUCAUGGUUUUGGGAUCAGAAAAGAUGAGGUAGGUUAUGAUGAUAAGCACAAUAUUUUGAUGCGACAAUAUUUAUGCAACAAAGCUGGAUUAAGAGACAAAAAACAUUUCAUGAGAGAUGAUAGGAAAAAAGAACAUAGAUCACUAUCUCGUACAUAUUGUAAAGCAAAGUUACGUGUGCGUUUGGAUCGUCAAACCUCUAAAUUUAAGGUUGUUUCAUUUGAGGAAGGUCAUAAUCAUAAUUUAUGUGGUUCUAAUUUUGUGCAAUUAAUCCGUACGUACCGUGG